rnacentral:lncRNA from 1 species
AAUUUUGAGAAACAUUACCUGGACAGCAGCCAAGCCAAAGAGGGAGAUAGAACAAGAGAGAUGUCUAAGUGAGAGCAUUACAGAGAUCUUGGAAAAAACAGAUUGCUGUCUGAUUAGCAAGGGAGCAGGGAAUAUGGCUUUAAAUUUCUUUUAACGUCGUUGCUCUCAAAUUGGAUCCCCAUCAGAUAUGCAUUUGACCACAGUUAAAAAUCUGGCUACAAUUCAGUUUGAUAUCUAAGAGUUCACGAACCAACGGAGGAAGCUGGAGUCCCUGGUGCAUGGACACAGAACAUCUCCAUUGAAAUAUGGCCUCUGGGCCUUCCUAGGCUAUUCUCUGCAGUCUGUCUCCAUGAAAUACAGCCUCUGCAAAAGCUGUUCUCACUUAGCACCUCCACAUGGCACCAUGGGAACAGGCCUGAGAGGCAUGAACAGGAGCAACUUUUUCAUACUUAUGAGAAAGGAUACAUUAGGGAUUAUCGGCAUGAUGCUAAUUUGAGUGGAGCCUGAAGGCAUCAGGAUGCAGGCAGCUGGGUGCUACAUUACCCACAUUGAUAGCAAAAAGGAAAGAAAAGGAGGGAAUGUUUAAGUUUAUGCCGAAUUCUAUAAAAACAAGUGUUUGGAUGGCAUGUCACAUGGUCAUGCACAGAUCGCAAAUGUUGUAGAAUGUGCAUAAGUGACUAAAGUACUUUUUCUAACAACUCAUCACCAAGUCUCAUGGAGAAAGGACUGAGCAGGACUCCCAAGAACUGGAUUCUGGUCCUGUUCUUGUCUCUACCACUGACUACGUAAGUGACCAUGGGCAAGUCUUACAUUUUUAUGGCUUCAUUUUUCUUUUUAGUAAAACUAGGGAUAGUU